AAAAUUCAUAGAGAACCACGCAUAAGAUAACCAAACAGUAUUAUCAAACCGAUCCACGUCGCUCAACCAAAAGACAUCCGAAAGCAGCAGCAGGCUGAAAUCCAAAUCCAAUCCACGAUCCAAACUACAUCAAGUCAUGACAGACAUACCGGCAAUAAAUAAUCGGAAACAGAAAUCUUAAGCAACCGAUCAAUAUAAACGCGAAAUUUCCA